AGAGAGAGAGAGAGAGAGAGAGAUCAGUCGGCCAAUUUCAAAUGGUUGCUGUCACACACUCUUCGCUCUGACGCGACAAUCCGUGCGCUUUCCUCGCGCGCACAACGGACACAGGUUCAGCACCACACUGAGGUGGACAGCAUGCUAACGGACAGACCCGAGAACAGAGCACGCGUCUCUCCUAUAGAGACAGACAGAGCUUCCCCCUGUAGAGUAAGUGCAUAAGGAGGAGAAAGUAUUUACAGGCACCGGGUGGAUCCCUGCCUUUCAAGGAGACAGCAUGGCCAGGAGAGUUCUCCUUAAAAUCUUACUCUCAACAAUUCGAUAAUAUCGAGAGGGAUUUCGGAAAAGUGCCAACGCAGGAUUCGGACGGCUUGUCUGUGAUUUGCUUUAUAGCCUAGGAUUUAGAUAAGUUACUCGGGGGAAUGGAGAAGCCGGUCCAGUCUCAGCUGCAGUCCAAAAGCGCAGAAGGUCCGUCAGAGGAUCUUUGCAAACUUACGGAUGAUGAGCUUAUGAAAUGGAGCAAGGAGGAGCUGGUACGCCGGCUGCGAAGAGCCGAAGCCGAGAAAAUGAGCGCUAUAGUGGACCACAGCAAUCUCAUCCGAGAGGUGAACCGCAGGCUUCAGCAGCACCUGAACGAGAUCCGAGGGCUGAAGGAGGUGAAUCAGAAGCUGCAAGAAGACAACCAGGAGCUGAGGGAUCUCUGCUGCUUUCUGGAUGACGAUCGACAGAAAGGGAAAAAGGUGUCGAGGGAGUGGCAGCGGCUGGGCCGUUACAGCGCAGGAAUCAUGCGUAAGGAAGUCACAUUGUACCUGCAGAAGCUGAAGGAGUUGGAGCAGCGGCAGGAGGAGGUGGUGAAGGAGAACCUGGAACUGAGGGAGUUGUGCCUCAUGCUGGAUGAGGAGAAGGGCUCUGGAAGUACUGUUGGGUCAGCGGGUACCGGGGGUCCAGCCGGCUGCAGGAAUUCAAUCGAUAGCCAGAGCAGCCUGUCUCACGCCAGUGGUCCUGGGCCUGGACUCCUUAGAGAUGUGGGUGAUGGGAGCAGUACCUCCAGCGCGGGCAGCACUGACAGCCCUGACCAUCUCACUCAUAAGCAGCAGCUGUUGGGCGGCCCCACUGGAGGUAGUCCUGACCACCUGCAUAAGCCAGGCUCUGGGGAGGAGGCACAAAGUUCUGAGCACGUAGGCCGCAGACAUAGCACCAGCCAGGAGUACACAGCGCAUACUUUUCCCCAGGUGUGCCGCUCUCGCUGUGGGUCCUUCUCCAGUCCAGACCACAGGGGCCUGAGGGGGCUCAGUCCCGAGAAACUUGGAAAGAAUCUUUCCAGAGGCAGCCCAGAGCAGUUCUCGAAACACCUGCUGGUGUCUUCUCAGCCGUCUGGCAAUUCUGACCUUUACCGAAAGCACCGGGGAAGCAUUGGUAGUGUGUGCGGGAGUCCGGAGCCCAAACAGAUUCUAUCAGGGACACCAGAACACCUCCAGAAGGGCCGUGUCAUUUCUGGGAGCCCCGAGAUGUUACGGCACUCCUACGGUGCCAGCCACGAGCACGGGAAAUUUGGCAGCCCUGGCCGAGAGGUGGCACAGAAGAGGCCGGGCGGAGAAGAGAUGUCCCCUCAUCAUCGGAACAUCUAUAGCGGUAUGAAUGGUGGGUCCGACUGGAGCCUGCUCUAGCACCCACAGUGAAAUACAUGGAGUUCCCAUUGAACACACCACAUGCCGUCCUUAAUCACAGAGGGUGCAUCAUUGCCAGCAAGGCAAUUCUCAGCCAGGCACUAAACCAUGCCAUUAAGCCAUCUAUGAUCUGCAUUUAGUUUAGUUUGUCUUUGCUCAGUUCAGGAGAGUCAAUGAGAAGAUCUAGUUUUAGUUUCUGGCUAGAGCAGAACAUCACAUCUCUGGUAAAGGUCGGUGGUGUCCAGUCUUGGUACUCUUGGGUUAUAAUUUUUGGCAGGCUUUAGCUGCCUCCUAUCAAUCAUCCUGUGCCUCUGAAGUCAUUUUUAUGCUCUGGAACCCAGCUGAGGGGACACUGUAAUGAAUCAAAGACCAAAAUGCCCAGCAAAAGCCAGAAGACAGUGUUUCCCACCAGGACCAGGAGUGGACACCAUUGUAUUUACCAUAUGCACCAAGCUCUGAUAUCGGCUGGCUGUUGCACCGGCUCCUGCAGAAGUGUCAAGCUUUGGGACAGUUUUGAUGCCUCUUGACCAUUGCCUUGACUGGAUCCAGUGGUGGGAACCAGGUCAUGAGAGAUGAUCAUUGUGAUUUCAUAUCACAUGCACAGACAAAAAGUUGGAAAAGGAAAACUGCAGUAGCCGGCAUUACCCACCCAUCGUGACGGUUUCUGGUCUUCUAAUACAACUUACAGCCCUGCACAACAAAAGAAGGAGAUCAAACAGCUGAAAAUAAGAUUGCCAAAAGGAUUUCUCUAAUCGAUAUAAAGAUCGCUCUUUUGCCAACAAAAUAGACCUACCUCCUUCAUACAAAAACAGAUGAAACGGUACUGAGAGGCUAGUGCCCAUUUUGUUUACAGUUGCCACAAAAACACAAACAAUCAAAUGACACUUUUGCACAUACAGGCAAAGAUUUAUUAUCAGAUUGGUCUCAUGCACCUUAGGCUUUGUUCAGACAGGCAGAAAAAAUCUGAUACUUCAUGUAUCUGACAUAUAUCUGUUUAGAUUUGUGUAGUUUGUUCAGCAAAAAAGCACAGAAAAUCAUAUAUUCCAAAACGCAUCCAUAGGAGGUCUAUAAACCAUUUAAAAUGAUUUUUUUCAGCUUGACAGUUAGAUAUCAAGUAGUGUUUCAUCAUUUAAGACACGGUCGCCUAGACAAGUUUUCUGUCCUCUUUUUACCACAGCUGCUCUUGUUGCACAAGAAAGUCCCUUUGGCAUCGUGCUGACGCUAAUAUCAUUUCCAUAGCAACCGAUGUAGAAGAUCGCAUUUGAAACCCAAGUGGGAUUUACUGUAUAUGCUGUG